CUUCCCUUCUUGUCUGCCUUGUAUCCUGCUGUUUAAUUACCCUUGGCUCGCCAUGUCCUUCAGGUCACUCACAGCGGCUCCAGGCACCGGUGGGGCCACUCAGCAGCCGAUCAAGAGUGAACGCAGCAUGCUUGCUCUUUCCGAUGAGAAUUCAAUAAUGAAUCAAGUUCAGGCAACUCAUGCACCUGAUGGCCGAGAGUUUGAUGUCAGACCUCUCCUCAAUAUUGUUGAAGACAUCCUCAAUCGUGCCACCCGUCAAGUUGAGACCACCUUGACGCCUGCCCUAGUUCAAGCAGAGAUGGAGGACAAGAAUCGUCAAGUCAAUUUCAUUGCCACGCUUGAAGCAUUGUCAUUUGUUAUUGACAGAAUUUCGUGUGAGAUUUCCUACAAGGCUUUGAGUGGAUCAGAUGCUCAUGCCACAACUCUGUCAUUAUUCAACAUGCUGUCAAGCUACUCCAGGGAUGCAAAGCUAGUGCUGAC
rnacentral:misc_RNA from 1 species